rnacentral:lncRNA from 1 species
CCAAGGAGAAGCCCAAGGAAGAAGAGAAAGCUUAUGUGCCACCAGCUUAUGAGCCAUCACUCCCAUUUCCAGGUCAUUUUCUCACCAAAGCUCAAAAGAAAUUACUUAAGAGUAUUAGAACAAACAUGGAGACAAUUGGAGUACCUUUGUCUCAUGUGGAGAAUUUGCAUCAAAUCCCUGGACAUCUUAAGUUCAUCAAGUCUUUAUGCUCAUGGGUGAGAUAGAUUAUGGGUUUCUUUGAUUGAUCUAUGACGUAUAGGGCUAGAUUACUUCUUUUCCUUUCUUAUUUAGUGACACUGAUGCUAGAUUAGUGUUGAGAAAACUAUGUAGAACAGAGGGAAUUUCAUACCCACAAGGUGUUUGAUGAAAUUUCCCAAAAAACUAUAUAAGAGAUUUUACUUGCUUAACCUAUGAGAAUAGAUGUUUAAGAAUUAUCAUGGAGAGUGGAACUUAUGUUUAAUUCUUGUAAUUACAUUUUUCACAAAUGAGAGUUUGAUCUUGAUUAAUGGUAAUUAGCAAAAUGAUUAGUUUCAUGAGAGUGGAUUAGUCUUGUUUAAGUGUUCUAGGCUAAAUAAAAUUGAUUGAUUGUGUGUUUUGACAUCAUAGAUUGAUCAUAGAAAUUCCCAGUGUCCAUAACUUCAUCCAAGAGCUUGCCUUUAUCAUUGUUAAUCUUGUUUAAAUUGCUUGAUUUCUUUAAUUUUCUUGUUUAUCUUGCCUAGUUUAUCUACUUGUUUAAUUUUAUUUUGAAUCAUUAGGUUGCUAGUUUGCAAAUUAAAAACCAAAUUGCUUUCUUGGAUUAAGUAGUUCUAUGUAUUCUUAGUGCUUGAGACUUAUCCCUUUUGGAUUGAUAACCUAAAGCAUUACAAUGAUAUGAGUAUGCCUAAGGGAUUGUUCUAGGUUUUGAACUAAAAAAAAUCCACUUAUUAAUUGGGAUUAGAUUUCAACAUUAGGAUUUUAGAUCUUCUUGAGAUCAAGCCUUUAUUUUCUUUUGUUACCUGUUGUAUCUCACUUGGUUUCUCUUCUUUUCUUACAGGUACAAGAACUUCAGAGCUGGGAAUGAUAAACAACAUAGGAACAAGAGCUGCAAACUUGGUUGGAGCUGGUGAUGCUGUUAAUGCUCAAGCAAAUAGCCAGGAAAUACAAGCACCAGCUGGGGAGAACUACAGUUUUGAGAUCAAGGCUGGGUUUAUAAACAUGGUGCAGAGCAAUAAAUUUUAUGGGUAAGCUAUAAUAGACCCUCUUGAUCAUCUGGAUCACUUUGAUAUAAUCUGUGGGCUGAAAAAGAUGAAUGGGUUAUCAGAAAACAGUUUCAAGCUCAAGCUUUUCCAUUUUCGUCUUGGAGACAAAACACAUCUAUGGGAGAAGAACCUUCCUCAAGGCUCUAUCAUUACAUGGGACCAAUGCAAGAAAGCUUUAGUAGCCAAGUUCUUCUCCAGCUCUAGAACUGCUAGGCUGAGGAAUGAAAUAUCAAGCUUCACAAAAAAUAACCGUGAUAGCUUUUGUGAAGCAUAGGAAAGGUUCAAGAGUUAUACUAUUCAUUGCCCUCAUCAUGACGUCAAUAAUGACUCACUCCUUAACACUCUUUAUAGGGGAGCAUUGCCCAAGAUAAGAUUACUCCUAGAUACAGCUUCAACUGAAAAUGUUUUGGCUCAAGAGGUGAAUGAAAUUAUGGGAUUAGUAGAGAACUUAGCUCAGAGCGAUGAGAUCAAUGGUGAAGAGUAUAACAGAGCUUCAAGGAGAGAUGUGAGUUUGAAAAAAGAAAAGACAAGGAAGGACAUCAAAUCACUAAAUGAGAAGCCAGAAAAACUUCUCCUAGCCUCUCAAAAGUCUGUCAAUUUUGUUGGAGAUCUACACCAAGGAUUCCAAGACAAUGUUCAAUGUGAAGACAUAACAGCAGAAGUGAAUCAACCCAAUUUUUUUUAAGAAGCGGAAAUGUAGCCAACCCACAAGCCCAAGUCUAUCACACCGAGAAGAACUUUUCUCAAUGUGUCCAACAACAAGGCUUUAUCGCUCCCCAACAACAAAGUUUAGCUCAGGGCCUAAAGAUCAAGAAGUGAAGAACAUGCUUCAACAACUACUACAGUGUCAAGCUUGUGUUGCUAUGGACUUGAGCAAGAAAAUGGCAGAGAUCCACAACAAAGUAUACUGCUCAUAUUCUGACCUGACUUCAAAGGUUGAGACUUUACACACCAAGAUAAAGCAAAUGGAGAAUCAAAGUGCUCAAAAAGCUUCCCUCACUAGUAGAAGCAUGGAGAAACUAAAGAGCAAUGUUGGAGAAAACUAAAAGGCGUAUUGCAAUGCCAUUUUCUCCAAUGAAGUCCAUUAUAUUGCUGAAAAUGAAGCUGAUAUAAAGGAGGUUGAGAUUCUACUUUAUAGUCCACAAACUACAACUCAAUGAGGAAAUUGAGCAACUAGAUGGGGACGUAGCCAUUAAUACUGGUGUUGCUGUGCUGAAGGACGCCUAUGAAGCUUCUAAAUACAUGGCUGGGGUCGUUGCUGAAGAGAAAGCCAAGGAGAAGCCCAAGGAAGAAGAGAAAGCUUAUGUGCCACCAGCUUAUGAGCCAUCACUCCCAUUUCCAGGUCAUUUUCUCACCAAAGCUCAAAAGAAAUUAUUUAAGAGUAUUAGAACAAACAUGGAGACAAUUGGAGUACCUUUGUCUCAUGUGGAGAAUUUGCAUCAAAUCCCUGGACAUCUUAAGUUCAUCAAGUC